rnacentral:lncRNA from 9 species
CCCAGGGCUCCCAGCCUCUUCGCAAUGAUUUUCACCUCAGGAUCUAUAAGCACCUUGUAAACAGAUGUUCAACAGAAACUAACCUGACAAUGCAUGAAGUAGAGACAAGAGGAAAGCAGAAAUUAAAGUUCACGUGAUUCACAAAACACCCUGUUUCUCACUGCCCCUGAGCCAUCCGGCCACCUCUGCCCAUAGGCGGCCUGCCUGGUCCCUGCCAACAUCAUCUGAGAAGUCACACUCAGAAGCCCUCCUGGCGAGCCCAUCAAGCUGCUGGAAAGUGUGCCACCGAAGAACCACUUAUUCAUCCUCUUGUUGGAUAAAUCCUUACCCCACGCCUAUGUCAUGUACUAGAACACAGCGGCCUGGCCUGGCAUGAGUGGCUGGUACUUUUUAUCUCCUGAGAUCAUGGCCAACAUCACUAUGAGAACAUUCUGCUGUUUCCUGAAGGACCAAGGUACGGGUGGCCUCCCCAGAUACCACCCACGUGCUUCAACUCCACUCGGAAUUCCUGAGCUGAAGGCCAUUGUCUCUGUGACUUUCCGGGAAGACCUCAAUGUAUUCCUUUGUGCCCCCAAGCAUGAAGAUUUGGGACUGAGAAACACAGUGAUGGCAGAAUCUCUGAUGAGGGCCGAGGCCCCGAGGCUGGGUGACUGUCCUCAGUCAGGGAGUGACCUUGCAACCUUGGGGUGACCAGUUCCUGGGGUGAUGAGGCCUGGACAUCCUCCCCCAAUAGACGUUGGCCCUGGGGUCCCCCCCAGCCUCGGAUUGGGUUUGGUUGGGAGAAAGGAAUGGUAAUAUCUUCCAGAUGUCAAAAAGAUGACGUUACUUCUGCGAUUUAAUUGCUGGUAAUAAUGAACGGUUGAGAGAGGCAAAGAGUAAUUAAAGAUUCUGAGUGAAGCCGAAGUUCAGGUUGAGUGAGUUAAUGGCAUUGGCAGUGCCGAGGACAGGGAACUUCAGAGCCUCAACCACCUCCUCUUUGUGAAAAGAAUAGGGUUACGGUGGAUUUUAUAAACCAAAAAUACGGCCUGAUGUAGGAAUCAAAAACAUGUUUUUAGAAAAACACCACUUUUGACUAAGGAAUUUAUUUUUUAUAAGGCUUAACAAAGAAAUAAAAAAUAAAUUUAUGUACUUAUACAUUCUAAAUGGCUUUUGGAAAAGAAUAAAAGUACCUAUGGUUGGGACUCUCCCAGAAAAUCUGCCUUAUAAAUAUAGCUCAUGAGAGAAAAAUGAUUUUUUAUGUGUUUGUGUGUUUUAGAAGUUUCCAUUUUGCUACGUACUCACUCCCUCAAUCAAAUCACUGAACUCCUAUGGGUCAAUCCUCAUAUCUGUAAAAUGACAGAAUUAUAAAAACUGCUAUGGACCUUUUGAAAUGCAAUGAUUCUAUACUUGCCUC